rnacentral:rRNA from 1 species
AUUGAACGCUGGCGGCAUGCCUUACACAUGCAAGUCGAACGGCAGCGCGGGAGCAAUCCUGGCGGCGAGUGGCGAACGGGUGAGUAAUAUAUCGGAACGUGCCCAGUAGUGGGGGAUAGCCCGGCGAAAGCCGGAUUAAUACCGCAUACGACCUGAGGGUGAAAGGGGGGGAUCGCAAGACCUCUCGCUAUUGGAGCGGCCGAUAUCAGAUUAGGUAGUUGGUGGGGUAAAGGCCUACCAAGACUGCGAUCUGUAGUUGGUCUGAGAGGACGACCAGCCACACGUGAACUAAGACACGGCCCGGACGCCGACGGGAGGCAGCAGUGGGGAAUGUUGGACAAUGGGCGCAAGCCUGAUCCAGCAAUGCCGCGUGCAGGAAGAAGGCCUUCGGGUUGUAAACUGCUUUUGUCAGGGAAGAAAUCCUCUAGGCUAAUACCUUGGGGGGAUGACGGUACCUGAAGAAUAAGCACCGGCUAACUACGUGCCAGCCGCCGCCGUAA